rnacentral:rRNA from 1 species
CAUGCAGGCGGUCGGGCAAGUAGGAUGUGAAAGCCCCCGGGCUCAACCUGGGGAACUGCAUUCUAAACUGUCCGACUAGAGUAUUGCAGGGGGGAGACGGAAUUCCAGGUGUAGCGGUGGAAUGCGUAGAUAUCUGGAAGAACACCAAAGGCGAAGGCAGUCUCCUGGGGCAAAUACUGACGCUCAUAUGCGAAAGCGUGGGUAGCAAACA